ensembl:lncRNA
GGCUGUGCUGCGUGAGAGGCGGUGGGCGGAGGAGAGCCCUCUGGAUACAAACCGGCAGAUGAAGGAAACCUCUGAAGGUGUGGCACUGUUGGGAGGAGGGAACGCACGGAGACACCCGAAGUGAGCCCUCAAAUCGCAGGCAGACGGGCUGGCAGGUGCCGGCUUUACCUUCAAACCCAUCUCCUGGCCAUCACGCCCUGCCUGGCAGCCCAGCUGUGCUCCCGUGUCCCUGCAGCUCCGUGGCGGCUCCCAGACCUGCUGCGUCUUCGGAUGCUCCUUCGGCCCUGUGAGGGAAAGAAGUUCCCAACAUUGACGUGGAUCCCGAAGUCGUCCGGGGAAAAAAAAUACCUCAGCUAUGUUAUGGCUCCAGGGCUGCGUUCGUACAUUCAGCAACUUAACAAAAAGCAGCUCCUUGGGCUGGUUCACUGACCGGC